AUUGAACGCUGGCGGCAUGCCUUACACAUGCAAGUCGAACGGUAACAGGUCUUCGGAUGCUGACGAGUGGCGAACGGGUGAGUAAUACAUCGGAACGUGCCUAGUAGUGGGGGAUAACUACUCGAAAGAGUGGCUAAUACCGCAUGAGAUCUACGGAUGAAAGCAGGGGAUCGCAAGACCUUGUGCUACUAGAGCGGCCGAUGGCAGAUUAGGUAGUUGGUGGGAUAAAGGCUUACCAAGCCGACGAUCUGUAGCUGGUCUGAGAGGACGAUCAGCCACACUGGGACUGAGACACGGCCCAGACUCCUACGGGAGGCAGCAGUGGGGAAUUUUGGACAAUGGGCGAAAGCCUGAUCCAGCAAUGCCGCGUGCAGGAUGAAGGCCUUCGGGUUGUAAACUGCUUUUGUUGGGAAAGAAAUCCAUCUGGUUAAUACCCGGGUGGGAUGACGGUACCCAAAGAAUAAGCACCGGCUAACUUCGUGCCAGCCGCCGCCGUAA
rnacentral:rRNA from 1 species